CGCCCGGAACCGCUCAGCCUUAACGUUAACAUCAAGAACACGAUAGAGACCAGUCUGAGGUCCCAAAGUACUAGCAGAAAAUGCAGUUUAUGGCUAUAUUUUCUACUGGCAAGAUAAUCCGUGGAUUACACAAAGUUACCUGCACAAAGAAUCAAGAUAUACAGUAAAAUAGAAUGGAGGAGGAAGUUAAAAAAUUCCCAUACCUUAAUAAUCCCACCACAUAAUUCCCUUUCCUUUUAAUUCUCAUGUUCAUAGAAGUGUGUUGCCCUUCUACUUCCCUAACUCAGUAAAAGAGUGGAAGGAAUGCAGCUCCCUGAUGCAAGUGUUUUAGUAAUCUCAGCUGGAGACAUACAAAGCCCUGACUCCGUGGUUUGGCAGGGCCCACAGCUACAUAGCUCUCUCCUGCUUUAGUGGCCAACAAGGAAGAUUUUAACAGCACGUGAAAAUUUUGUCCAGUGCCUUGGGGUGUCACUAAAGCAUAAGGACACAGUAAAGUGCUUCUAAUCUCUCUGA